rnacentral:rRNA from 1 species
CGACCGGCGCACGGGUGCGUAACGCGUAUGCAACCUACCUUUAACAGGGGGAUAACACUGAGAAAUUGGUACUAAUACCCCAUAAUAUCAUAGAAGGCAUCUUUUAUGGUUGAAAAUUCCGAUGGUUAGAGAUGGGCAUGCGUUGUAUUAGCUAGUUGGUGGGGUAACGGCUCACCAAGGCGGCGAUACAUAGGGGGACUGAGAGGUUAACCCCCCACACUGGUACUGAGGCACGGACCAG